rnacentral:rRNA from 1 species
AUUUUCCGCAAUGGGCGAAAGCCUGACGGAGCAACGCCGCGUGGGUGAUGAAGAUUUUCGGAUCGUAAAGCCCUUUCAGCAGGGACGAAGCGAGUGACGGUACCUGCAGAAGAAGCAUCGGCUAACUACGUGCCAGCAGCCGCGGUAAUACGUAGGAUGCAAGCGUUGUCCGGAAUUAUUGGGCGUAAAGAGCUCGUAGGCGGUUUAGUAAGUCGGGUGUGAAAACUCUGGGCUCAACCCAGAGAUGCCACUCGAUACUGCUAUGACUUGAGUACGGUAGGGGAGUGGGGAAUUCCUGGUGUAGCGGUGAAAUGCGCAGAUAUCAGGAGGAACACCAGUGGCGAAGGCGCCACUCUGGGCCGAAACUGACGCUGAGGAGCGAAAGCGUGGGUAGCAA